rnacentral:rRNA from 1 species
GAUGAACGCUGGCGGCGUGCCUAAUACAUGCAAGUCAAGCGAACGGACGAGAAGCUUGCUUCUCUGAUGUUAGCGGCGGAAGGGUGAGUAACACGUGGAUAACCUACCUAUAAGACUGGGAUAACUUCGGGAAACCGGAGCUAAUACCGGAUAAUAUUUUGAACCGCAUGGUUCAAAAGUGAAAGACGGUCUUGAUGUCACUUAUAGAUGGAUCCGCGCUGCAUUAGCUAGUUGGUAAGGUAACGGCUUACCAAGGCAACGAUGCAUAGCCGACCUGAGAGAGUGAUCGGCCACACUGUAACUGAGACACGGUCCAGACUCCUACGGGAGGCAGCAGUAGGGAAUCUUCCGCAAUGGGCGAAAGCCUGACGGAGCAACGCCGCGUGAGUGAUGAGGGUCUUCGGAUCGUAGAACUCUGUUAUUAGGGAAGAACAUAUGUGUAAGUAACUGUGCACAUCUUGACGGUACCUAAUCAGAAAGCCACGGCUAACUACGUG